rnacentral:rRNA from 1 species
CUGGGAUUAGAUACCCUGUUAUUUUAAAUUAAAUAUGAAAUUUCUUGAAAAUUAAUAGUUAAAUUCUUUAAAUUUAAAAAAUUUGGCGGUAUUUAAAUUUAUUAGAGGAACUUGUUUUUUAAUUCGAUAAUACACGUAGAUCUUACUUAAUUUUUAAAAAAAUUUGUAUAUCGUUGUUAUAUUGAUUAUCUUUAAAGGGGUAUAAAUUUUCUAAUUUUUAGUAUUAUUAAAGUAAAUCAAAUCAAGGUGCAGUUUAUAAUUAAGUAGGGAUGAGUUACAAUAAAAAAUAUUUAUAAUGGAUUGAAAUUUUAAAUAAUUUUAUGAAAGUGGAUUUAAGUGUAAAAUAGUUAAUAAAAAUUUUUUGAUAAUAAAGUUUUAAAUAUGUACAAAUCGCCCGUCACUCUCUGA